GGUCGACUGGUGUAGUGGUUAUCACGUCUCGUUCACAUAUAGUUGAACACUGCUGGAAAAUUCCACCGAGAAGGUGCCAGGUUCGAUCCCUGGGUCGAUCA